AAUUUGGACUUAUUCUCAUUUCUUUGACAGAAGAAAGGCCGAGAGAGAGAGAAAUAGAGAGAGAGUGAUGAUUUUGAAGGAGAUCAAGGAGAAGAAAGGUUGAAUCAAGGGUUUGGAACUUGUAUAAGCUUGGCUUUCAAGAUUUCUUCAAGAUUGAGAUUUGAGCUUGGAUUGAAGUGUGGAGAUAGGAGGAGAAGGGAUUGAGCAAGGGUUUGAAGAAUUUAGUAAGGUUAUUUGAACUUGGAGAAGUGGUUGCUAGAGUUGUGGUGAGGUUUUUGCUCAAACGAGGUGAUAUAGGUACUAGCGCUAGUGCUUCGACUACGGAUAAGCGGGGAGGAGCGUGACGCGGAUGGCCUGGACUUGUGAUGGUUUGGUUGGUGUGGUGUUUAUGUGGUGAUGCUUAAUUGGUCUUUUG